AGCGAACGCUGGCGGCAUGCUUAACACAUGCAAGUCGCACGGGUGGUUUCGGCCAUCAGUGGCGGACGGGUGAGUAACGCGUAGGAACGUGUCCUGAGGUGGGGGAUAACGCUGGGAAACUGGCGCUAAUACCGCAUAUCGGCUGAGGCCGAAAGCCGCGAGGCGCCUUUGGAGUGGCCUGCGUCCGAUUAGCUUGUUGGUGGGGUAAUGGCCUACCAAGGCUGCGAUCGGUAGCUGGUCUGAGAGGACGACCAGCCACACUGGGACUGAGACACGGCCUAGACUCCUACGGGAGGCAGCAGUGGGGAAUAUUGGACAAUGGGCGCAAGCCUGAUCCAGCAAUGCCGCGUGGGUGAAGAAGGUCUACGGAUCGUAAAGCCCUUUCGGCGGGGACGACGAUGACGGUACCCGCAGAAGAAGCCCCGGCUAACUUCGUGCCAGCCGCCGCGGUAA
rnacentral:rRNA from 1 species